AGCAAGGUAGUUUAAAGAAAAGAACGUUAGGUUGUGGUCCUGAUAGAGGAUAAUAUCCCUUUGUUU
rnacentral:tRNA from 1 species